GCAGUGGGCGGGGGUGCUUACACAUGCAGUCGAACGGUGAAGCCCAGCUUGCUGGGUGGAUCAGUGGCGAACGGGUGAGUAACACGUGAGCAACCUGCCCCUGACUCUGGGAUAAGCGCUGGAAACGGCGUCUAAUACUGGAUAAGAGUAGCGACCGCAUGGUCAGUUACUGGAAAGAUUUAUUGGUUGGGGAUGGGCUCGCGGCCUAUCAGCUUGUUGGUGAGGUAAUGGCUCACCAAGGCGUCGACGGGUAGCCGGCCUGAGAGGGUGACCGGCCACACUGGGACUGAGACACGGCCCAGACUCCUACGGGAGGCAGCAGUGGGGAAUAUUGCACAAUGGGCGCAAGCCUGAUGCAGCAACGCCGCGUGAGGGAUGACGGCCUUCGGGUUGUAAACCUCUUUUAGCAGGGAAGAAGCGAAAGUGACGGUACCUGCAGAAAAAGCGCCGGCUAACUACGUGCCAGCAGCCGCGGUAAUACGUAGGGCGCAAGCGUUAUCCGGAAUUAUUGGGCGUAAAGAGCUCGUAGGCGGUUUGUCGCGUCUGCUGUGAAAUCCGGAGGCUCAACCUCCGGCCUGCAGUGGGUACGGGCAGACUAGAGUGCGGUAGGGGAGAUUGGAAUUCCUGGUGUAGCGGUGGAAUGCGCAGAUAUCAGGAGGAACACCGAUGGCGAAGGCAGAUCUCUGGGCCGUAACUGACGCUGAGGAGCGAAAGGGUGGGGAGCAAACAGGCUUAGAUACCCUGGUAGUCCACCCCGUAAACGUUGGGAACUAGUUGUGGGGUCCAUUCCACGGAUUCCG
rnacentral:rRNA from 1 species